UGCAAAGCCUCCGGGUUCGACUUCAGCAGCUACUACAUGCACUGGGUCCGACAGGCUCCCGGCAAGGGGCUAGAAUGGGUCGCUUAUAUAAGAGGCAGUGGGGAUGAUAUAAGCUACCCUGAUUCAGUGAAAGGCCGAGCUUCAGUGGCUAAAUCAUCCCUGGUGAAGCCCGGAGAGACCCUCGCUCUGACCUGUGCUGUUUCCGGCUUCUCUAUCUCUUCUCAGCAUUACGACUGGCACUGGCUCCGGCAGCCCCCCGGCAAAGGGCUGGAGUGGAUGGGGUAUGUAUCUCCAUACUAUAGCGGGAGCACAGGCUACGCCCCGUCUCUGCAAGGCCGAGUCACCAUCUCUGCAGACACCGCCAAGAACCAGGUCUCCCUGCAGCUCCGCUCGCUGACAGCUGCAGACACCGCCACCUAUUACUGCGCCAGGGGAGACACAGUGACACUAGCAGAGAGGGACUGGCACAAAAAGGGGAAGCGGUUUCCCAACAGCCCAGGGGGACGACAGUCACAGGGAUAG